rnacentral:rRNA from 1 species
CCAAUAGCGUAUAUUAAAGUUGUUGCAGUUAAAAAGCUCGUAGUUGAAUUUCGGGAUCAAUAUAUCGGUCGUGCCAUCGGUACGUACUGGUAUCAUUGGUUUCUCCUUUCUGACGAACCAUGAUGUCAUUAAUUUGGUGUUAUGGGAAGUUAGGACUGUUACUUUGAAAAAAUUAGAGUGUUUAAAGCAGGCUCACGCUUGAAUACAUUAGCAUGGAAUAAUGAAAUAGGACGUUUGAUUCUAUUUUGUUGGUUUCUAGGAUCGACGUAAUGAUUAAUAGGGGUAGUUGGGGGCAUUAGUAUUCAAUUGUCAGAGGUGAAAUUCUUGGAUUUAUUGAAGACUAACUACUGCGAAAGCAUUUGCCAAGAAUGUUUUCAUUAAUCAAGAACGAAAGUUAGGGGAUCGCAGACGAUCAGAUACCAUCGUAGUCUUAACCAUAAACUAUGCCGACUAGGGAUCGGAUGAUGUUAAUUUUUUAAUGACUCAUUCGGCGCCUUACG